UGCCAGCAGCCGCGGUAACACGGGGGGGGCAAGCGUUAUUCGGAAUUACUGGGCGUAAAGGGCAUGCAGGCGGCCUGAUCAGUGAGAAGUGAAAGCCCUCGGCUUAACCGGGGAACUGCUUCUCAUACUGUUAGGCUAGAGUGUUGGAGAGGAGGAUGGAAUUCCCGGUGGAGCGGUGAAAUGCGUAGAGAUCGGGAGGAACACCAGUGGCGAAGGCGAUUCUCUGGACAACUACUGACGCUGAGGUGCGAAAGCGUGGGGAGCAAACAGGAUUAGAUA
rnacentral:rRNA from 1 species